UGAAGUGAACAAACAGCAUCUAAUCCAAAGCAGGUGCAGGGAUGCAGUUGUGAUCAGCCAUACUGCUCAGCGGAGGCGAUGGCAGGAUACCGCGUCAGCAUCAGAAGAGACCAAAGUGAUGCAACAAAUGAGUAAGGAAAGUGGACUUCAUUAUUCUGGCUUCUAUCCACCCACCAGCCUGUCUCCAUCUCCCUCCCUCGCCAGUCGCCAGUCGCCAGUCGGUUUCCACAAUAAUGAAGUACCAAGGUAAAUCCGGCCAAAGCAUUUGCGUAUGGAGAGCAAAAUCCACUUCGCAGCCCCACCUCUUGCACUGGAACACUCUGAACGCCAACAGCCCUCUCAGCCGGGAGGACUGCUAACAACAGUGAAUUAAUUUGGGCAUUUCAACGCAGGAAGCGAAGGUGCCACCUCGCUGCAUGAAUACAGUAUGCUGCUGGCUUCCUCUGGAUCACUCAGGUGUGCCCAGGGAUCGCAAACAGCACGACUCCUCAGGGACAGGACAGUCAUUGCAGGGGAGGGAGUCAGUGAGCCAGCAGGGAACAAAGACAUGAGGGACAUCCCAAAAGUAUGAAGACAAAGAGAAAGCCAGCCUCAGGUCAGUCCACAGCUCAGUGACCUCCCCACCCGGCAGAUGAGCAGACCAUCCCAGACUUGGUCCUUCCCCCGAGAAAGCCCCUCUGAUAACGGUGGUGUCGGAACCUUUCUCAAUCCACACCUAAAGCUUAGACAUCACAGGAACGAGCCACCAGGAUGCCACAAAGGUUCUCAGUGUAUUUGGAAAGGAGAAGGAACAGCUAUUCCCUUGUUUUAUUUUAAGUGAAAAGUGUUAAUUACAGCGGAGUCCCAGAAAAACCUUUCUGAUGGUACAGUCAGUGUACUCUCCAUCCCGGCUCCUCCUCUCCUCUUCCCAGCUGGCCAAGAGGAAAGCUGAAUGGGAAAGGCUCUAGCCAACAAAAAUGAUACAUCAGCCAGACUUCCUUGCCUUCCUGACUUUCUCUGGGUUUGGCCGAUGGGAAGAACUUUUAGGUUAGAGUAUGAGAGCAUUUGAUCGGCACCGAGGUAAUGCUUGUUGGCCAUCUGAACACCAUCUGUGGAGCAACGUCUAUUCAAGCCUACUAUCCUUUGUACUAGGUCACUGGAAAAGUCAUGACUGUUUUUCUGUUUUUCUAUGCAAAAAUGCAUCGCAGCUUUCCUG